GAUGAACGCUGGCGGCGUGCCUAAUACAUGCAAGUCGAGCGAACAGACGAGGAGCUUGCUCCUCUGACGUUAGCGGCGGACGGGUGAGUAACACGUGGAUAACCUACCUAUAAGACUGGUAUAACUUCGGGAAACCGGAGCUAAUACCGUAUAAUAUAUUAAACCUCAUUGUUCAAUAGUGAAAGACGGUUUUGCUGUCACUUAUAGAUGGAUCCUGGCCGAAUUAGCUAGUUGGUAAGGUAACGGCUUACCAAGGCGACGAUGCGUAGCCGACCUGAGAGGGUGAUCGGCCAAACUGGAACUGAGACACGGUCCAGACUCCUACGGGAGGAAGCAGUAGGGAAUCUUCCGAAAUGGGCGAAAGCCUGACGGAGAAACGCCGCGUGAGUGAUGAAGGUCUUCGGAUCGUAAAACUCUGUUAUUAGGGAAGAACAAAUGUGUAAGUAACUAUGCACGUCUUGACGGUACCUAAUCAGAAAGCCACGGCUAACUACGUG
rnacentral:rRNA from 1 species